rnacentral:rRNA from 1 species
GUGGGGAAUUUUGGACAAUGGGCGCAAGCCUGAUCCAGCAAUGCCGCGUGCAGGAAGAAGGCCUUCGGGUUGUAAACUGCUUUUGUACGGAACGAAAAGGCUCUGGUUAAUACCUGGGGCUCAUGACGGUACCGUAAGAAUAAGCACCGGCUAACUACGUGCCAGCAGCCGCGGUAAUACGUAGGGUGCAAGCGUUAAUCGGAAUUACUGGGCGUAAAGCGUGCGCAGGCGGUUUUGUAAGACAGACGUGAAAUCCCCGGGCUCAACCUGGGAAUGGCGUUUGUGACUGCAAAGCUGGAGUGCGGCAGAGGGGGAUGGAAUUCCGCGUGUAGCAGUGAAAUGCGUAGAUAUGCGGAGGAACACCGAUGGCGAAGGCAAUCCCCUGGGCCUGCACUGACGCUCAUGCACGAAAGCGUGGGGAGCAAACAGGAUUAGAUACCCCGGUAGUCC